rnacentral:rRNA from 1 species
UGUGCUCUUCCGAUCUAUAAGAGAGACCUAUUGAAUUGAAGCAUCUUAAUAAAUAGAGGAAAAGAAAAUAAGAAUGAUUUCCAUAGUAACGGCGAGUGAAAAGGAAAGGAGCCCAAAGACAGGAGACUGCUGUGUGUUUAGGCAUGGUGGUGAUUCGUGGUGGGUGUGGCUUUGUGGGACAUUGUGUGUGACUUUUUAGGAAGUGACUUGGAAAAGGACAGGAUAGAUGGUGAUACUCCAGUAGAACGGAAGUGGGACACAAUGGGUGGACAUGGAGCUUGUGGAGUCAUAUUGCUUGAGAGUGCAAUAUAAAGGUGGUGGUAUAUUCCAUGAGAGGCUAAAUAGAGGUGAGAAGCCGAUAGCAAAGAAGUACUGUGAAGGAAAGUUGGCAAGAACUUUGGAAAAAGAGUUGGAAGAGCCUGAAGUUGUGAUGCUGGAAGCAAUUGACUGUAGGUAGAGUGUUGUGUGUUGUGUGUGUCAUGGCAUUGUUUAUAGGGAAUGGUGUUGUGGUGCGUGUGCACAAUGUGCGAUGGUGCUGUCAUGGAUUGAGUGUUGUGGAAAAGACUGAUGGUUGAUUGUCAUUGUGUGCCUUGUUUUGAAGGUGGAUGAUGAAGGAUGACUGUUGGUGAUAGUGGCAAUGGUAGAUGUUGUGAUGGUGUGGAUAUGGUGAAUUGACCCGUCUUGAAACACGGACCAAGGAGUCUCAUUUAUUUGUGAAGAUAAGGGAGUUGUGACAUUGGUGUAUCUGGAAUGAAGAUGAAGUUUAGAUGUGAAAGUGUGUUUUAGGAGACAACACAAGCAAUAUUGAUUCACUCUGUUUUUAGACAGGGAGAGAAUUUGAAUGAAUAGAUGAGGACCCGAAAGAUGGUGAACUAUACUUGGAGAGAAAGAAGUCAGGGGAAACUCUGAUGGAUGUUCGUAGCAGUGCUAACGUGCAAAUUGCUUGUGGGAACUGAGUAUAGGGGCGAAAGACUCAUCGAACCAUCUAGUAGCUGGUUCCCUCCGAAUUUUCCCUCAGGAUUGCAGUGAUUUGGAAAUAGUUAUAUCAAGUAAAGAUAAUGAUUAGAAUCUUGUGUUUUUCUGCUUUUUUAACGAAUUGCAGAGACACAGUUAAGGGGACAAGAAUGGUCCUUUUGUUAUUCUCAAACUUAGAAGUGGUAUAGACGUGGCUGGACUCAUGGGCUUAAGAAGUUGGAUGGGUCUGGUGGGAAAUAGAGCAAAUGAUUAGUGGGCCUAAUCUGGUAAGCAGAAGAGGCGAUGUGGGAUGAACCAAAGGGAAAGUUAAGGGGUCUAAAGUAAGGCACACAAGGACGCCAGAAAGGGAGUUGAUUGAUGGAGACAGCAGGACGGUGGCCACGGAAGUUGGAUGACCCGCCAAGAAGUGUGUAACAACUUACCUGCCGAAUUGAUGAGUCCCGAAAAUGGAUGACGCUGGAGUGCUUAGCAUCAUAGUUUCCCAAUACUUUUCUAUCACAGCGAGUUUGAUUUGUUGAUUGGUUAGUUGUGAUAAGUAGGAGGAAGCGCAUGGGGAGUGUGGAAGCUGGGUGGGGAGACUCAGUGUGGAACAACCUGUGGUGCAGAUCUUGGUGGUAGUAGCAAUUACUCGAGUGGGACGCUCGAGGACCAAAGUGGAGAAGGGUUUCAAGACAAUGGCAAGCAGUCAUGAGUGAGUCGGUGCUGAAGAGUAGGGGCAACCCGUGGGAAUUGCGUGACACGUGAUGGUGACGCAUGACUGUGAAAGGCAAAUGUGUUAAGAAUGACAUACCUUGCUGGUCGUAUUUAGGGUGAUGGGGUGUUGUGUGUGGUUUGUGUGCCAGUGAUGGUGUGUGGACGUGUGCAAUGCUUAGGCGUCACCUGGUGAUGGAUGGCAACAUGAAGGAAUUCCGCGACGGCUGUCAGCAUUUCCGUAAAAGUUAUCUUUUGUUAAUAAUCCACAUAGUGAGUGUGAUUGGUGUAUUGUGUAAGCAUUACAUUUUGAUUGCAUUUGUAGAAGGAAAGCCAAGAAAGUGAAUGGAUUGGAGCAGUGGCUGGUGGUGGAGAAUAGCAGUUAGGAGUUGUGGUGACACAGCGUAGGACUGGUGGAAGAAUGUAGGUGAUGGCGACGUGAAAAGCGGGAGGAGCAGAACUGGUGUGGAUUGUGUUGUGGAUUGGCAGUGUAUUUCAUUGUUGGUUUGUGAUGCGGUUCAGACACUGGGAGUGGAUAAAGAAGCAAGACCGUACCGAUGACCGCAACAGGUCUCCGAGGUUAGAAGCCUUUGGUGGAAUAGAAGAAAGUAGGUAAGGGAAGUCGGCAAAUUAGUACCGUAAGUUUGCAAGAAGGUAUGGCUCCAAAUUUGUGAUUGUGAAUGUCUUUUGAGUUGGUCAUGUAUUGUGAUAGAUUUGUGAUUGACUUGAAGUAAAAAGGACGUUGAGCAGGAAAUGUUUGGAACUGAUAGAAAGAAAGGGAAUUGGACUGUAUAAUAAAAACAAAGCAUUGUGAUGGUGUAGACAAGCGUGUAGACACAAUGUGAAUUCUGCCCAGUGCUGAGAAUGUCAAAGUGAAGAGAUUUAAGGAAGCACGGGUUAACGGCGGGAGUAACUAUGACUCUCUUAAGGUAGCCAAAUGCCUCGUCAUCUAAUUAGUGACGCGCAUGAAUGGAUGAACCAAAUUCCCACUGUCCCUAUGUACUAUCUAGCGAACCCACAGCCAAGGGAACGGGCUUGGCAACAUCAGCGGGGAAAGAAGACCCUGUUGAGCUUGACUCUAGUCUGACUUUGUGAUAUGACUCUCCAAGUGUAGAAUAAGUGGGAGUUGUUUGUUGUGGUUUUAGGAUUGUGGCAAGCAGCGUUGGUGAAAUACCACUAUUGGAGAAGUUGUUUUACUUAGUUAUUUAGUGAAUGAGUGGGAUGGCAUUGUUUGUUGUGGUGCAUUUCACUAUGAUGAAUGAUGUCGUGUAUCCUAUGUUUUCUUUAGUUUUCAUGUCUUGUGAAUUUGAUUCAUGGGACAGAAUUGAAAUAGCUAAAGGAGUUAGAUAGGGAGUUUGGCUGGGGCGGCACAUCUGUAACACAAGAACGCAGGUGUCCAAAGAGCAGCUCAAGGAGAACAGAAAUCUCGAGUGGAAUAUAAGGGUAAAAGCUGCUUUAAUUGUGGUUUUCAGUAAGAAUGAUGAUGGUGAAAGCGUGGCCUAGCGAUCCCUAAUGAGGUGUUGUGUGAUUAGACAGUGCAUGAUGCUGAGAAUGGUCUUUGGAAUAUAAAGCUUGGGGUGUCAGAAAAGUUACCACAGGGAUAACUGGCUUGUGGCUGCCAAGCGUUCAUAGCGACGCAGCUUUUUGAUCCUUCGAUGUCGGAGAUCGGAAGAGCGUCGU